UUCCGGUUGAUCCUGCCGGAGGGGACCCCUAUCGGGCUCGGACUAAGCCAUGCGAGUCGGCUGGGGGCCCUUGCCCCUGGCGGCGCACGGCUCAGUAAUACACGGUCAACCUGCCCUGGGGACCGGGAUAACCUCGGGAAACUGAGGCUAAUCCCGGAUAGGGGUGGAUUCCUGGAAUGGGUCCACCCCUAAAGUAGGCGGGGGAAUGGCCCCGCUGAGGCCCCAGUAUGGGACCGUGGCCCAUCAGGUAGUAGGUGGGGUAACGGCCCACCUAGCCUAAGACGGGUGCGGGCGGUGGGAGCCGGAGCCCGGAGAUGGGCACUGAGACAAGGGCCUAGGCCCUACGGGGCGCAGCAGGCGCGAAACUUCCCCAAUGCGCGCAAGCGUGAGGGAGUGAGCCCGAGUGCCGCCCGCUGAGGGCGGCUGUUCCCGGGUGUAAACAGCCCGGGGUAGGAAGGGGAGGGUAAGGCUGGUGCCAGCCGCCGCGGUAAAACCAGCUCCUCGAGGGGUCCCCACGCAUACUGGGCCUAAAGCGUCCGUAGCCGGCCCCGUAAGUCCCCGGUUAAAUCCACCGGAAGACCGGUGGGCCGCCGGGGAUACUGCGGGGCUAGGGAGCGGGAGGGGCCGAGGGUAUUCCGGGGGAUAGCGGUAAAAUGCGUAGAUCCCCGGAGGACCACCAGUGGCGAAGGCGCUCGGCUGGAACGCGUCCGACGGUGAGGGACGAAAGCUGGGGGAGCAAACCGGAUUAGAUACCCGGGUAGUCCCAGCCGUAAACGAUGCCGGCUAGGUGCCGGCCGAGGUUUCGGCCUCGGCCGGUGUUGAAGCGAAGGCGUUAAGCCGGCCGCCUGAGGAGUACGGCCGCAAGGCUGAAACUUGAAGGAAUUGACGGGGGGGCACCACAAGGGGUGAAUGCCUGCGGCUCAAUUGGACUCGACGCCGGGAAUCUUACCGGGGGCGACAGCAGGAUGAAGGUCAGGCUGAAGACCUUACCUGACGCGCUGAGGGGUGGUGCAUGGCCGUCGCCAGCUCGUGCCGUGAGGUGUCCUGUUAAGUCAGGCAACGAGCGAGACCCA
rnacentral:rRNA from 1 species